rnacentral:lncRNA from 1 species
UCUGUUAUGAUCUUAUUGGCUUGUAUUUUCUUUUCUGCUGAUUGAUGGAUCGGUAUACUUAAAAAUAGGUGCCAACUUGAUCACUUAAGCUCCUGUCCUUCAGUCACCUGCAGCCAGUGUCAAAGUAAUCCUUAUUGGCAAAUCUUUCUGUUGAACAACAAACUGUAACUAGAAAAGGAAACAAGUCCCUUGUAUUUCUUUUGCAUAUAAUGAUAGUACCCCAUAUCUACAUGAACAAUCAAAGCAUGAGCCAAAACCAAAGAGCAUGCAUAAGAUUACAUAUGUUCCUUGUGGAAACAUAGGGAUGCAAUGAAUUUUUUCAUUGAUGACAGACGCGUAUAGGAAUCAACAACUGCAAAUGCACAUCCUCCUCCUCAUCUUCAGGCAAAUGUUAAUCUAUGAUUACAAUCCUACAACAAUCAACUUCAUAGCCCAUCAGAAGUUUUAUGUCAACUUCUACAUAAAAGUUUUAUCAGAUGCAGAAGUUAAACAUCAAAUUGGAAGCUGUAUUCCUAAAUACACCAAAUUAGAUGCCUCCUACAAGUCAUUUCAUCAUCAAAGCAUUAGCGCCAAGCCGCCAAACUAUUUCUUUCCUCUCCCCCUCUAAGAAAAACAACAGUUUUAUGGGGAGACUGGAGACACAAAUCUUUCUAAGUCAAAAACCAGAUCCCUAAAUUACAUUGUAACCUACCCAGAGAAUCAAACAUAUACAACUCCUCAAACUAAUAAACCGAAUAAGAAACCAUGCCGAUCUACAGUAACGGAAAUUGAGCAAUUGAGCAUAUUCUGUUUCUUUUCCUACAGAGUACAGACACAAAGUAAUGUAGACCUUUUCAUUAUGUACUAACCGAAGAAAAAUUAAUGAUCCCAACAAUUAAUCACAAAACAAGAGAAACAAGUCAACUUGGCACUGUAAAUUCUCAAUUACCUUGGGAAAUGGCUAGAGCAUCAAGAAUUCCUAGGAGGUCAUUGAUGAGGUCAUGGUAGGUGGUUUUCUCCGGUUCGGGUGGCCCGUUAUCCGGCGGUGGUUACGGCGAUCAUCUGGUGGCGCCACGAGUACCAGACUUCCGGGAAUCCGUGCGACCACGUUGGGACCUGAAAAACAACAAAGAACCGAAGUGUUCGACCAGACUAGGAAUAACUAAGUUGGAAAGAACAGAACUUUAAUUGCAUUGUUUUCCGGGAUAUGUUCUGACCGGUUACGACGUCAGAGAAAUGGAGGUUCAGGCCAUGCUCGGUAAUGUACUUGUGCUGAAUCUGGU